CCUUCGAUAGCUCAGUUGGUAGAGCGGUGGACUGUAGAAGUGAAAGCAAAAGUAGACAUCCAUAGGUCGCUGGUUCAAAUCCGGCUCGAAGGA
rnacentral:tRNA from 1 species